UGGGGAAUUUUGGACAAUGGGCGAAAGCCUGAUCCAGCAAUGCCGCGUGCAGGAAGAAGGCCUUCGGGUUGUAAACUGCUUUUGUACGGAACGAAAUAACUCUGGUUAAUACCCGGGGUUGAUGACGGUACCGUAAGAAUAAGCACCGGCUAACUACGUGCCAGCAGCCGCGGUAAUACGUAGGGUGCGAGCGUUAAUCGGAAUUACUGGGCGUAAAGCGUGCGCAGGCGGUUAUAUAAGACAGUUGUGAAAUCCCCGGGCUCAACCUGGGAACCGCAUCUGUGACUGUAUAGCUAGAGUACGGUAGAGGGGGAUGGAAUUCCGCGUGUAGCAGUGAAAUGCGUAGAUAUGCGGAGGAACACCGAUGGCGAAGGCAAUCCCCUGGACCUGUACUGACGCUCAUGCACGAAAGCGUGGGGAGCAAACAGG
rnacentral:rRNA from 1 species